UGGGUCCCCCGUCCCCUUUGUCACGGAACCGGGCCUAACGCCCGUAAACCGUUGACAGGACCUCAAGAGGCCAAGGAGCUAGUCAACUCUGUCCACCUACGCAGUCUUGGUUUUGUAAUGUUUUCAUGAUUGUGUUGAGUGCCAUUUUACACACUGGAAGGACUCAGAACAAAGUCAGAAAAAAUCGUGUUUGUAUUACAAUGAUGCCAAGUCAGAACCAUCACACCUGCUCAUUUUUGCAACUCUCAAAGAUCACAGCUACUCCCAAACCAAAACCAGAAGUUGUCAUCAAUCCAGACACUUGUUUUCAAGGUUGUAGACAACAUUGUGCUAUUUCACUGUGCUUUAUACUGCCCUCCAUGACGUGCAAACUGGAUAAUCAGUGUAGCAGCAUAAUGGCAUAGUCCUCUGUAAAAUCAAGGACAUGUACACCUCUAAUUAAGCUCACUGGUUUUUCCUCCAUUUCUCUUCUUCAGAAGUUGAACUCCUGAACUAUUGAAAUAAACACCUUUUUUCGGAGAAUGCACACACAGUUUUCAGCACUUCCACAGGAACAUGUUCAGCACCAGUCCCAGAAAUCAAACCAAACAAUGAAUUGUAAAGCUCAACUUCCACUAUGGUUAUCACCAGUAGCGCCUCAGCAGUGAAUCCAAAGACAACACUAAGAGGAGAAAAAUCAAGCCAUAGCAAAAGGUGUAAGACAAAUACCUUCAGUAUCUCUUACUGUGUAUACAUAUUACUAUAGAAACUGAAACAGUAAAUACCUUAUAAACAUCCCUUGUAUGAGCAGAUAAAUUAAUUUCAUAAAGGGCUAGGAUAUGAAGUUAAUAGCUCUUUACAAAUGGCAGAACAUCUGGAACAACUUACCAAGAAAGAAUGGUGAGGAUAGAACUUUCUUUUUUGUGUUUUUCCAAAGUUUGUUAGAUUUUUCUAAAGCACACUGUCCAUUCCCUCUACUGCUGCCAUGUGCAAUUUCACAGAGUCUUUCUUGCAAAUUGAUUAGGGCAGAUUUAACACUGUUACUUGUUUUACACUUAGAAACUGUGUCUACAAAUUGCUAUCUCCACUUUUUUUCCCCACUGGACUUCCUACCUUUUGCUUUCAGGGCCUGACUGAUCUUACUGUUCUUUGUUAUCGGCUGUCUAUAGAGUAUGAAAGUGUACAGCAUUAAAGUACGAGGUGUGCAGGAGUCAACUUAUUAAAAACAUAGAUCCGUGUUAUAUUAAAAUUCCUUAUACAGGCUCUAUAUUCCCAGAGGGCUGCAGGAGAUCCUGUAUUAGGAAAUAUGGAACAGCCAACAUAAUACUCUUUAUUAGUCCCUCCUGUUGUCCGAGCAGUACAUAGCUUACGAAGUAGGGAUAUGUAAUAAGAAUUAGAGAAGCACACAGGAUUUAGGAAAAGCGGAGCAGGCUCUACAUUUGCAGAGAGAUCCUCUAGACCUACUCUCUCCAACUGCAGCCAGUUGUAAAUACCAAGAGAAGAGUGUACUGAUAUUUGCCUGACAGACUCUUCAAUCUCCAACCAAAUACGCAGAUUUAAGUAUCAGAUUUAAGGCUAGUAUGUUCUUCUUUAUAACUUCCCUAGCACUUCACUAUUGUUCAUCAAUAUAGAUAAAUAUUUUCUUUGUAAUGGAUUUUUAGAAUUUUAACUAGCAGUUCAUUAUCCUUAAUUUUAGCUUACGUUUCAAAUUUUGACAGGCAGUGUUACGUUCUAAACAUAAUAGAAGAUUUUAAGUAAUUUAAAAAUGCAAAAUGUUACUUUAAGUUUCUUCAUAUUAUAAUUUUCUGAAGAGUACUGCUUUAUAAAAGCAUGUAUAAUCUAAGGGAACAUAUCUUUCUUUUUGUCAAGGUCAGUUUGAGCUUUCUGAAAGUCAUAAUGUCACUACUUUGAGUAAACAUACAUAUUAUUUUCAGUCAUUAGAGUGCAACAAAUGCUGAUAUUUACUCUACCCAAAAAUAUGUAUUUUGUUUCUUUGUGGUUUCACACUAAUUUAUUUUUGCUUCAGUUUACAAGGCACUGUGAGAACAUUUUCAUCAUCUGAAAUAGCUUUAUCAAAGCUGAGCAACCUAUUUGGAAAGUAAAGUAAACAAAGUUUCUUCUCUCUUAGUUGUAAAUUGUGAGUAAAAAAUUUAAUAAUUCUACAUACCUGGGAAAAUGUGCCAUUACUUAUUUUGGACCCCGAGACAAAUACCUAAAGAAUUCUUCAUGGCCCAGAGAAAAGUCACAUCUCAUAGACCUGAACUUACGGUAGGGGUGAUAAUAUCUGUUUGUCCUAUUGAAUAAUGAACUACUUUGAGAGUGCUACUUUUUUCUUCUGUCUCAGAAUUACUUUAGGUAUUCAUUUAAUUCAUGCAAGACAUGAUUCAAAUACUCUUACAGUGUGUUACUUAUGUUCUCAUAUCUUCAGAACAGAUACUGACAAAAGUUUUAAGCAAAAUACAAAACAAGAACUAUCAAACAAGAAAAGUCAUCGUUCAUAAUCUUCUAGGACAAAAAUUAAGAUUCUGAGCGUAUAACUUACAAAACUGCUUAAGAAAUAUAUGUUUUCAGUAUGUUUAAUAUAAAGAUUUCUUUGAUUUGAAAAUGUAUUUUAGUGAUAAUGUGGACCUUUUCUUAAGAAAGUAAUGGAGAUAUAUAAGUAGAAAUAAAAAUUAAGAACCCUGAAUUAAAACAAAGUUCUUGUUGCUCCUUAAUAUUUAAGUCAGGGUGAAAUGAGUGACUUAAAUUGCUUUGUGAUAAACCAUUCUGUCUGAGUUCUAGGAUGCUACCAUACUUUUGAUGUAGUAUAAGCACUGAGCUGUUCGUGUAGGUCCUGGUAAAAGCCUUCAGAUCUGUUUCAGGGUUCAUUUCGAUCUGAGAGACAGGAUGUCUCAGGAGCAGAGGCAAGCAAACUAUGCACUCAGAGCAGCAGAGGGUUACGAGAUUUAUUCAACGUACACACACUCACACAUACAUGGGCAACCAUUAUAGAUAAUCCUAAUAAGCAGUAAGCAGAAACUCCCUAAGCUAGUGCAGUCUUACUGACCCUUGAGAGAUGGCAAACCGCCGAAAGGAGAGAGAAGGAACAUGCUAGCAGUGGAUUCGAUAGGUAGUGCCAGCAGGGCGUCCCCUGCUUCAAGGUGCACUUUACCUCUCUCUCCCACCACAGCCUCUCCUGCUUUUUUUCUCCCCAGGGUCUACAGGACUUUUUCCACUUGCACACCAUACCCGCAUGGCCAAUGCAUGAUACAGAGCCCAAGUGGAACACCUGCUUGCAAAACAAGUCUUUGCAGAAACAAGAUAAACUACCAAGGUCAGCUCUCUCUACAAAACAACAUUUGUAGGUACAGCCACAAAUAUCACUUCCCUUAAAACAGUCAGACUACUUUGUUCCAUUCAGUCAGGGGCCUUUAGGUCCCCAACACAAAAUCCGUAAAAUAACAGAGGAUAGCUACUAGUCCUCCAUCUUGUUGUGUCAUGUUUGCGUUGAAAACUCGCUUUCACUAAGUGUAACACAGAACUUGAGUUGACCUCUUCGAUAUUUAUUCAUUAGUCAACGUUCAGUGCAGUACCUCGCUCAGUUUCUUGUUUAAAAUUGUCACGUAUGCACAGCACAUAAAUUUGCAUUAUUGUCAAGUCAUUUGUUUUCAACUAGAUGAAAUCUACUAGAAAAUCACUUCAUUCUCACUGUGACCCAUUUAUCUUGUAGUCACACGCAGUUUAAAAUGAGACCUGAAAUAUUAAUUUGUCAUUUAAAUUAUGCAAAAUAAUCCACAGGCAUUCAUAUAAUCUCAUGAAUCUGAGAGAUGUUUUCAGUUACAGAAAGGCAGGAGAUGAGUGACGUUUUUUGUUCUUUAACAGAAAAGAGGGAAAAAAGGAAGAAAGAAGGAACUGUUUUACAAGUAGAACAUUGUAGAACGUUGGAAAAGUUUCACAAAUAUUCUCUUGCAAAAAAAAAGUCACAUAGGUACUUGAACAAUAAUUGUUAUCAGUAAAUGUACAUGCUCUAGACCUUUCUUUUGUAUCACUAUAUGUUUAUAAUACAUUCAGGUACUGUUAGAUAACACCAGCCAAGAUAACAAUUAUUAAUAGCAUAGAGAAAAAUAAGCCUGUCCCCCUCAUAGAACAGCACUGUUAGGCCAGAGUCUUUCUCUGUCUGUCUCAUCAUUCAAGAGUACUAGACCUGAAAUGCUUCAUCAUGUCUUGCAAAAUUUUACACUGAAAAAGGAUGAGGAUGUUUCUGAGAUAAAGUUUUCAGUGAAAAUUUCUCCCAGAAUCAGGGAGAUAUUUUCCCUGCAUUUUCUUCAAAUUUUACUAUAAAAAUGGAAUAAAGGAGUACACUGUGAUAAGCUUUUGUUUCAACUUCUGCAGAAAAUGAACAUUGGACUGGUUCACUAAAAUCUUAACAUUAUCUAAGAGUAUCUAUAGAUGUUAUAGAGCUAUGAGAUCUAUCAAGCUGUUUGCUAUCUUGUUUUGGGUCUGGGUAAAUUUUUUUCAACAAUCUAAUUUGAUAGCAGUACACUGCAAAUCAGAAUCUCAGCAGGAUAUUAUUGGUUUUGAAGUUUUUUUUGGUGAAAAAAACCCAAACAUUCUGUGUAACCAUCUCUGAUGUGAUUUAUCAAAUGCAGAUUUUUCUACAUUUCCCACCUGCUUUCCCUUGUCCUCUUUGGGUCUGCAGGAGCUAAGCAUAAGUGAGAAAAGCCAGGCACAUGAGUACAAAAUGAAUGGAAAAAAAAACAGGAGGAAGCUUCAGCAGUUUUCCCAAAGCUGUGCUUGUUUGUUUUACUUGCAAUGAAUCUCCUAGCUUCAUCAAAUGCAGCAGUGCCAAUAUAGUAUGCCUACCUGCAAGUACUAAGGCCACAGGUUUUAGUAAGUCUACACUACUUCUAAGGACAGUAUUUCACUCUGCUGUCCUUGCCAUAUGUGUAGAAAGACAAGAAGUGUGAAAAGAGGUGGGGUUGCCAGUGAUUCAUUGUCUUGUGGCCUGAGUGGAGAAAUAUGCACACCUGCUGUCAGCAUGUGUCAUUAAUUUUAGUCUGGAGAGUUUUUCUAGGCUGGAGUUUUAACUGAAAUAGUCCUGAAAAGGACCACCUAUUUCCGCAGUUGUUCCAGCUGAUGUUUUGGCAUGUUCUUAUGUUUCUAAGUACUGUUUUCUGACAGUGUCCUAUGCAUGUCACUUUUUUUCAUGUAGGCUUCUGUCUUCUUUUCACAGAUGGUGAACUGAGCAAGUGAGAAAAGGAGUAUUAAUCUUUCUAUAUAAAUUUGUCUGUUCUGAAAUUGGAAAUGCUCCUCAGUGGAAGAGAUUUUAUUAUCCUCACUCAGGAACUAGGAAACCGAAAAUAACAGUCUUAAAUCAAUUUCUACUUGGCAACUGUGAUAAAAGUUGUAAUCUGGUUUGGAAUGUUUGUUCCUUGAUUUUUUCCUUUGUUCCUUCCAUGAUCUGGAGAGCUUGUAGAGCGAGCACAUCUUCAUUCACCUUUGCAGAAAAAUACAUGAUUCAGGCUUAGGCUACUGAGUUGGCAGAAGGACUGGAGAUCCUGGAGUAAAGAACUGUGUAUCCUGAACAGCAGAAGUCAAGAGUUGCAUGAACUGAGUUCUUCAGUAGAUAAAUGGAUUCAACUGAAUAAGGAACAGGCCUGGAAUAGCUAAUAACCUUGAUUUGACUCAUGUGCCACCUGCAAUCACUGUGGAGAAAAUAACAUGCAGUAAUCUACCUUGGCUCACAACUGGCUUCUGACCUGUUCUGUCACUGUCAAGUAUAAUAUGGUAUUUUCGGCAUCAUCUGAGAAGUUCUAGGAACUGCACUUUUGUGUGAGAGCAUGAGCAGGAGACUGAAAAAGUAGUCAGCAGCUCAGGAAGUUAUAGUCUGCUGUGAAGAGUUGGAAUAUGAUAAGAAAAUAGUAGAAGUGUAGAUCAGAAAGGAGGAGAUUUAGAACUGAGAGCACUUUAACAAGAUGAGCUUUUGAAAGGCUUAGUGCCAAGCAGAUACAUGCAGUAUUCUAAUUCACAGUACACCUGAAUCUAGCCAGCAGGAGAAAGAUACUAUGAUCCCCUGACAAUGAUUGUUAGUCUUUUACCACAGUCUCCCAAGAGAAUGUAAAUAGCAGAAUUGUAAGGAAUUAGAUAAAUGCACAAAAGAAGCCUCAUAGCAAAUGACUUUUUCAACUGAUGAAAAAUACUCCCUGUAGGCAAAUUGCUAUGACUCUAGCAAAGGUUAUAAGCAUCAGGGCCCUGGGUGCUGACCCUUAGGAGUCAUGCCUGUACCUUGCUGUGUGUACUGUUGAUGUGACCCUGGCCAGUGGAUGGAGUACCUGUUUUGACCUCAAACCUCUCUGUUAUUGUGGUCUUUCCUGGCCACCUUUGUAGACCUCAUCUUGAUCACCAUUGCUGCACCUCAUACUGACCUGCUUACUCAAAGCUCUGGCCUAAUUCUGCGCUUUCUCAUCAUGAACUUAUUUGUCCUGACUGCCUUGAUGGCUUGCACUCCUCCCUCCAUGGGGCAGUAGGACAGACCCUGGCUGAUGAGGCCCUGCCCAGAUGGCCCUAGGAUCCCAAAAGAAAAAUAUUUGAGGUUUGCAGAGGUACUUUAAAAAUGGUAUCACCCAAAGGCUCCCUAUAACUGGGACUUUCCUAGGAAGAGGCAUGCUAAAAUUUGAGCUUUUGAGUUCUUUGGUUUAGAUGAAGCUAAUGACAAAUUUUAUUAUUCCAGUAGGAAAAUUUACUAUGACUUAAAUGAAUGAGAAAAGACACAGUUGCAGGUACAAUAAAUACCAGUCAAUUAACAUGGAAAUAUUUUUACUAUUUUAACCUCAUGACUAUUUGUGUGACUUAGCUAUGCUGUUUCUUUCACCUGUCCCGUAAACUGUGAUCAUCUGCUCUAAUCCUCCCCACAUCCUGUUGAGCUAAAGUGGUGGGUGUUGAUUUCCAGAUUUUUCUCCAUAUUCCUGAGGGCUAUAUUCUUCCUGCUUCAACUAGAGGUUAAGACUAUGAUGUUAUCACUCUGAGACUUUGCAUAAAGUCAUAUGAACCUAUUGAGUAAUCAAAGAUGAACCCAGUUUUUGAGUUGAUUGUUACUAUGACUCCUGCAAAAAGUGGAAAAGGUGAGGCAUAGAUUAAAGUACGGGCAGUUACACAUUUAGAAUGGAAGACUUUUAUCUAGAAGCUUUGAGAUAAACAGCAAAAGAAUCAAAAAUCUUUGUAAAAGGAAUCACCCUGUCCUAAGCAGCAACUUCACUGCUAUAAUUAGGAAGAAGACCAUUCAAACAGUUCUUAUGUGGUAUUUUUUUUUCCUCACAAUCUGCAUAUUUAUGCAGAUUGGCUUUACAUAGGGAUGUGUCUAUCCACAUUACAGCACAGUGGUAGGAAAGGUGGUGUCGGAUCGGGCUAUUCCUGUUGCCUGCCUCAGAUACCUGCUCCAGCCUUUGCACAAUGGAGUUCCCACAGCUGGGACACUCAUUAUUUUUCUGGUAACCUCCAGCAUGUAGAGGAGGCUGGUGUAUUUGGGCCACCUAGCAGUCCAGUUCCCAGAUGAGGCUGACCGAGUUGUCAGGGAAUGGUCAGGUGAGUUUGCAUACAGGUGUCCCAGCCUCCCUGUAGGGAGCUGUAUGGAAGCCUGGCGGAUACUGAAUUCCAUGUGCUAGCACCUUGUGGAUUAUUAGGAGGCCACCUGGCCAUGCUGCUUACUAGAGAUGCAGCUGACACUGAAUGAUCCAGAAAGUGUUUGAGGAACUCUGAGGAGUGCUAGAAAGGCUGAACACUUGCAAGAAUUAUCCUCCUAUAAUUCCUGACUUGGGGGUCAGGAGUUACAGCUUCACAAGUUGCAGAAGGUCAGCUAGAAUUUAACUGUGGGGGGGAAAAAAAAAGACACAGAUCUGUAAAAAUCCAGACCUGAGGCUGAAAAAAAAUAGAAAAUAGUGUGAAAAGAACAUAACACAAAAUUAUAGAGUGCUAGUGAUCUUGUCUAAAGUACUGGAAAUAUCUCCAAGCUUUAAAUUUUCUGUAUUAACUGUUUUUCUUGUUAAGCUAUAUAAGUAACACUAAGAGCUUUGCUGACACUUCAUAAAAUGUCAGAUGGU